ACGCUAGCUACAGGCUUAACACAUGCAAGUCGUGGGGCAGCGGAUACUUAGCUUGCUAAGUAUGCCGGCGACCGGCGCACGGGUGAGUAACGCGUACCGAACCUGCCCAUCACACAGGGAUAGGCUUGCGAAAGCAAGAUUAAUACCUGAUGGUCUCAGUUGUAUGCAUGUAUGAUUGAGUAAAGCCUUCGGGCGGUGAUGGAUGGCGGUGCGUCCCAUUAGGAAGUUGGCGGGGUAACGGCCCACCAAUCCUUCGAUGGGUAGGGGUUCUGAGAGGAAGGUCCCCCACAUUGGAACUGAGAUACGGUCCAAACUCCUACGGGAGGCAGCAGUGAGGAAUAUUGGUCAAUGGGCGAGAGCCUAACCAGCCAAGUAGCGUGCGGGAUGAAGGCCCUUGUGGUCGUAAACCGCUUUUAUCAGUGAAUAAAGUGCAUCACGUGUGGUGUCAUUGCAGGUAGCUGAAGAAAAAGGACCGGCUAAUUCCGUGCCAGCAGCCGCGGUAAUACGGAAGGUCCGGGCGUUAUCCGGAAUUAUUGGGUUUAAAGGGAGCGCAGGCGGGAGUAUAAGUCAGCUGUUAAAUAUCAGAGCCCAACUCUGUUAUGCAGUUGAAACUAUAUUUCUUGAGUACGCACAGGGAUGGCGGAAUUCAGGGUGUAGCGGUGAAAUGCUUAGAUAUCCUGAAGAACUCCGAUCGCGAAGGCAGCCAUCCGGAGCGUAACUGACGCCGAGGCUCGAAGGUGCGGGUAUCGAACAGGAUUAGAUACCCUGGUAGUCCGCACGGUAAACGAUGAAUACUCGCAGUUCGGCCGUUUAGGUCGAGUUGUCCAGCGAAAGCGUUAAGUAUUCCACCUGGGGAGUACGCCGGCAACGGUGAAACUCAAAGGAAUUGACGGGGGCCCGCGACAAGC
rnacentral:rRNA from 1 species